GUCGGGUGCAGUGGCGCGCGCCUGUAAUCCAAGCUGCUGGGAGGCUGAGGCUGGCGGAUCGCUUGAGUUCAGGGGUUCUGGGCUGCAGUGGACUAUGUUGAUCAGGUGUCCACACUAAGUUCGGUAUCGAUAUGGUGCUCCUGGGGGAGCUCGGGACCACCAGGUUGUCUAAGGAGGGGUGAACCGGCCCAGGUCGGAGACGGAGCAGGUCAAAGCCCCCGUGUCGAUCAGUAGUGGGAUCUUAGACACUGCAGUGCAGCCUGAGCGAUACAGCGAGACUCAGACUUUU
rnacentral:SRP_RNA from 1 species